rnacentral:tRNA from 1 species
GGAGAGGUGGCGGAGUGGUCGAACGUGGCGGUCUCGAAAACCGUUGAGCCUAACGGCUCCCAGGGUUCGAAUCCCUGUCUCUCUGCCA